rnacentral:rRNA from 1 species
GAAAUGCGAUAGUAAUGUGAAUUGCAGAAUUCAGUGAAUCAUCGAAUCUUUGAACGCACAUUGCGCCCCUUGUGUAUUCCGAGGGGCAUGCCUGUUCGAGCGUCAUUACAACCCUCAAGCAUUGCUUGGUAUUGGGUUCCGCUGCUCACCCAGCGGGCCUUAAAGUCAGUGGCGGUGCCGUCGGGCCCUGAGCGUAGUAAACCUCCUCGCUAUAGGGACCCGGUGGACGCUGGCCAUCAACCCCCUCACUUUCUAAGUUUGACCUCGGAUCAGGUAGGGAUACCCGCUGAACUUAAGCAUAUCAAUAAGCGGAGGAAAAGAAACCAACAGGGAUUGCCUCAGUAACGGCGAGUGAAGCGGCAACAGCUCAAAUUUGAAAUCUGGCUCUUUCAGGGUCCGAGUUGUAAUUUGUAGAAGAUGCUUCGGGUGUGGCUCCGGUCUAAGUUCCUUGGAACAGGACGUCAUAGAGGGUGAGAAUCCCGUAUGUGACUGGCUGCCUUCGCCUAUGUGAAGCUCUUUCGACGAGUCGAGUUGUUUGGGAAUGCAGCUCAAAAUGGGUGGUAAAUUUCAUCUAAAGCUAAAUAUUGGCCAGAGACCGAUAGCGCACAAGUAGAGUGAUCGAAAGAUGAAAAGCACUUUGGAAAGAGAGUUAAACAGUACGUGAAAUUGUUGAAAGGGAAGCGCUUGCAACCAGACUUGCACUUGGUCGAUCAUCCGAGGUUCUCCCCGGUGCACUCGAUCUCGUUCAGGCCAGCAUCGGUUCAGGUGGUGGGAUAAAGGCCUUGGGAAUGUAGCUUCUUUCGGGGAGUGUUAUAGCCCUCGGUGCAAUGCCGCCUACCUGGACCGAGGACCGCGCUUCGGCUAGGAUGCUGGCGUAAUG